ensembl:lncRNA
AGAGAGAAGAGAGAGAGACGAGAAAGAGAGAGAGAGAGGAGAAAGAGAGAGGAGAGAGAAGAGAAAGAGAGAGGAGAAAGAGAGAGAGAGAGAAAGAGAGAAGAGAGAGAGAGAGGAGAAAGAGAGACGAGAAAGAGAGAGAGAGAGAGAGGAGAGAGAGAGACGAGAAAGAGAGAGGAGAGAGAGAGAGAGAGAGAGGAGAGAGAGACGAGAAAGAGAGAGGAGAGAGAGAGGAGAGAGAGACGAGAAAGAGAAAGAGAGGAGAGAAGAGAGAGAGAGGAGAGAGAGACAAGAAAGAGAAAGAGAGGAGAGAGAGAGGAGAGAGAGAGGAGAAAGAGAGAGAGAGGAGAAAGAGAGAGAGGAGAAAGAGAGAGAGAGGAGAAAGAGAGAGAGAGGAGAAAGAGAGAGAGAGGAGAAAGAGAGAGAGAGGAGAAAGAGAGAGAGAGGAGAAAGAGAGGAGAAAGAGAGAGAGAGGAGAAAGAGAGAGAGAGGAGAAAGAGAGAGAGAGGAGAAAGAGAGAGAGAGGAGAAAGAGAGGAGAAAGAGAGAGAGAGGAGAAAGAUAGAGAGAGGAGAAAGAGAGAGAGAGGAGAAAGAGACGAGAGAGGAGAGAGAGAGGAGAAAGAGAGAGAGGAGAAAGAGAGAGAGAGGAGAAAGAGAGAGAGAGGAGAAAGAGAGAGAGGAGAAAGAGAGAGAGAGAGAGAGAGAAGAAAGAACUGUUAAACAGAGAAAGAGAUCUGAAGGGAGGCUCUAUCCUAAGAUCAAAUCAAAAUUAAAUGUUAUUUGUCACAUGCGCUGAAUACAACCUUCCUAUGAAAUGCUUACUUACAAGUCCUUAACUUUAUUUUCUUUAAACUGCAUUGUUGGUUAAGAAAAUAUUUUUAAAAUGUCAACAAAAUAACUGAGGCUAUAAACAGGGGGCACCGGUACCGAGUCAGUGUGAGGGGUACAGGUCAAAGGUCAUUUGUAUAUGUAGGUAGGGGUGAAGUGACUAUACAUAGAUAAUAAACAGUAGUACAGGUUAAAGGUCAUUUGUAUAUGUAGGUAGGGGUGAAGUGACUACGCAUAGAUAAUAAACAGUAGUACAGGUUAAAGGUCAUUUGUAUAUGUAGGUAGGGGUGAAGUGACUAUACAUAGAUAAUAAACAGUAGUACAGGUUAAAGGUCAUUUGUAUAUGUAGGUAGGGGUGAAGUGACUAUACAUAGAUAAUAAACAGUAGUACAGGUUAAAGGUCAUUUGUAUAUGUAGGUAGGGGUGAAGUGACUCCGAUGGCCAUUCGAUGAAUUGUUCAGCAGUCUUCUGCCUUGGGGGUAAGAAGCUGUUCAGGAGCCUUCUGGUCCUAGACUUGGCGCUCUGGUACCGCUUGCCGUGCGGUAGCAGAGAAAACAAACAGUCUAUGACUGGGGUGGUUGGAGUCUUUGACAACUUUUAGGGCCUUCUACUGACACCGCCUGGUGUUGAGGUCCUGAAUGGCAGGAAGCUUGGCCCCAGUGAUGUACUGGGCCGUACGCACUACCCUCUGUAGUGCCUUACGGUCAGAUGCUGAGUAGUUGCCAUACCAGGCGGUGAUGCAACCGGUCAGGAUGUUCUCGAUGGUGCAGCUGUAGAAUUUUUU